rnacentral:rRNA from 1 species
CAGCCGCCGCGGGAAUACGUAGGUGGCAAGCGUUGUCCGGAAUUAUUGGGCGUAAAGGGCUCGCAGGCGGUUUCUUAAGUCUGAUGUGAAAGCCCCCGGCUCAACCGGGGAGGGUCAUUGGAAACUGGGAAACUUGAGUGCAGAAGAGGAGAGUGGAAUUCCACGUGUAGCGGUGAAAUGCGUAGAGAUGUGGAGGAACACCAGUGGCGAAGGCGACUCUCUAGUCUGUAGCCGACGCUGAGGAGCGAAAGCGUGGGGAGCGAACAGGAUUAGAUACCCCAGUAGUCCCUGUCUCUUAUAC